rnacentral:misc_RNA from 2 species
AACGCACCUUGCGCCCUUUGGUAUUCCGAAGGGCAUGCCUGUUUGAGUGUCAUUAAAUUCUCAACCUUCCCUUCUUUCAUUAGGAGUGCGGCGGAUUGGAUAUGGGGGUUUGCUGGUUUCUAACGAGAUCAGCUCCUCUGAAAUGCAUUAGCAGAAACCGUUUGACUUUGGCUGCUAGGCUGUGAUAAUAUCUACGCCUUGGUAGUUGGGUCGGAAUACGAGUCAUACAGUGGUAACUAAUCAGGCUUUCGAGUCUGGCUUAGGAUCGGUUUGGAAGGUGCUUAACGGCUCCUUUUGCUUUCUCCCUUUGCGGAGAUACUUGUCCGAUUCUAAGAGAGGAGUUGCUUAGCGCGAGCUUAGCUUUCCUUGAUUUUUCCCCUUGACUUUGUAGAAGGAUUCAGCUUCUAACCGUCCAUUGACUUGGACAAUUUAUUGACUAUUUGACCUCAAAUCAGGUAGGACUACCCGCUGAACUUAA